ACAUAUUGGAGGUGGUCACCGUAGAGAUGUAUAACUGUUUUAUAUCUAUGGUGGUCACAGAGGGAACAUAUUGGAGGUGGUCACCGUAGAGAUGUAUAACUGUUUUAUAUCUAUGGUGGUCACAGAGGGAACAUAUUGGAGGUGGUCACCGUAGAGAUGUAUAACUGUUUUAUAUCUAUGGUGGUCACAGAGGGAACAUAUUGGAGGUGGUGACCGUAGAGAUAUAACUGUUUUAUAUCUAUGGUGGUCACAGAGGGAACAUAUUGGAGGUGGUCACCGUAGAGAUGUAUAACUGUUUUAUAUCUAUGGUGGUCACAGAGGGAACAUAUUGGAGGUGGUCACCGUAGAGAUGUAUAACUGGUUUAUAUCUAUGGUGGUCACAGAGGGAACAUAUUGGAGGUGGUCACCGUAGAGAUAUAUAACUGUUUUAUAUCUAUGGUGGUCACAGAGGGAACAUAUUGGAGGUGGUCACCGUAGAGAUAUAUAACUGUUUUAUAUCUAUGGUGGUCACAGAGGGAACAUAUUGGAGGUGGUCACCGUAGAGAUGUAUAACUGUUUUAUAUCUAUGGUGGUCACAGAGGGAACAUAUUGGAGGUGGUCACCGUAGAGAUAUAUAACUGGUUUAUAUCUAUGGUGGUCACAGAGGGAACAUAUUGGAGGUGGUCACCGUAGAGAUGUAUAACUGGUUUAUAUCUAUGGUGGUCACAGAGGGAACAUAUUGGAGGUGGUCACCGUAGAGAUGUAUAACUGUUUUAUAUCUAUGGUGGUCACAGAGGGAACAUAUUGGAGGUGGUCACCGUAGAGAUGUAUAACUGUUUUAUAUCUAUGGUGGUCACAGAGGGAACAUAUUGGAGGUGGUCACCGUAGAGAUGUAUAACUGUUUUAUAUCUAUGGUGGUCACAGAGGGAACAUAUUGGAGGUGGUCACCGUAGAGAUAUAUAACUGUUUUAUAUCUAUGGUGGUCACAGAGGGAACAUAUUGGAGGUGGUCACCGUAGAGAUAUAUAACUGUUUUAUAUCUAUGGUGGUCACAGAGGGAACAUAUUGGAGGUGGUCACCGUAGAGAUAUAUAACUGUUUUAUAUCUAUGGUGGUCACAGAGGGAACAUAUUGGAGGUGGUCACCGUAGAGAUAUAUAACUGUUUUAUAUCUAUGGUGGUCACAGAGGGAACAUAUUGGAGGUGGUC